UACGGGGGGGGCAAGCGUUGUUCGGAAUUACUGGGCGUAAAGGGCUCGUAGGUGGCAAACUAAGUCAGACGUGAAAUCCCUCGGCUUAACCGGGGAACUGCGUCUGAUACUGGAUGGCUAGAGAUUGGGAGAGGGAUGCGGAAUUCCAGGUGUAGCGGUGAAAUGCGUAGAUAUCUGGAGGAACACCGGUGGCGAGGGCGGCAUCCUGGACCAACACUGACGCUGAGGAGCGAAAGCCAGAGGAGCAAACGGG
rnacentral:rRNA from 1 species